UAAGGGCAACUUCACCGGUGGUCCAAAUCCCGCGUUGGUUCCAAAUUUUUGGACCACGCUCAAAAUUGGAGCUUGCACCGGUGUUGCAAAUAAUGUUCCAAUUUUAUUUUAUACCAGUUUUCUGGUCUAUUUUUUUGGAACAGGCUAGCUGCGUGUUCUAUUUUUGGUCAGAUUUGGACCAAGAUUUGUGCUGUUCCAAAACUGGUUUGACAAAUGUUUGUUUACCCGUUCGGAUGUUUCUCGCUGAAGCAGUCACCGUCUUUAAUUCCUACUCAUUUGAGAUCUGAUUGGGGAAUUCGUGUUCCGGGAGGACCAGCGAGGCGGCGUCACGAAAUAAAAACGUAUCACACCUUGUGAAAACGCGACGACACGGAAACCAUCAUCACACCGACGGUCGAUUAAUCGAUCGGAAUUGGCCAGGCGGAUCCAGUUUGGUGGUUCGAUGCGAAAAACUCGCGGCACACUUUCGACUUUUUAGCUGUGGUCACAAAGGUUGAACCGAACUCCGCGUUCCGAGAUGCAAAUCCGGAAAACUGACCAAAUGAUGCGAAAGCAAGCGGUCACUCCACGGCUGUCGUCAAUUGAUGAGUUGAGAGUUCAAGCUAGUGACUUUCGACCUGAAACGGAUGCCUCUCGGAAUGCGGUGUUCUUUUCGCUUUUUGGUGUACCUUUUUUGGGUACCUUAAUUAAGGAAAAGGCCAACUGGUCGCACCUCUUGAUCUUCAGCUGAAUGAGUUCCUGAAAAUCCGGCACUUUUCGAGUGCACUGAAUGACCAGCAUGAGGAUAAUCAUCAGCACGCUGCAAACGGAAAUGGAAUCUCUACCAAAAUGGGCCAAUCAUUCAAC